UAAUAAGUGUUUUAUGGCACUUUUUUAAAUCCAUAUCCACCUUGUGUGCAAUGUCGGUCGAUCUUCUUCAUGGAGAUCGACCAAACAUCAACCUUUAUCUUUUAACUCUUUGUCUGAAAAAUAUUAUGAAUAAACAAUUCAAAAUAC
rnacentral:misc_RNA from 1 species